ensembl:lncRNA
UUUAGCAACAGAUCACGAAGAGUAUAGAGACUGAAGCCAAUAAACUGCAAGAAAACUAAAACCAAAUUGGUAUGUGAAAGAAAUGCAUGUAUCUGCAUUGUAAGAAAUUCAUUGAAUUGAGCAAAUGAUACUCCUAGGGGAAUCAUUCAUUACCAUCUGGAAAGGGCCUGGCCUAUGGUAAAGGAUAGGGGAAAAAUCACUGAGCAGCAGAAUCUAUGUAGUGAAAUUGAAAAAAGAACAUUAUUUUGCAACCAUGGCAAAAGUACUUCAGAAUUCUUCCAAAUUCCAACAGGUCUGACUAAUAUGGAUUACAGAGGGAAGAGAAGAAGAGUAUACUGAAAUAUGUGAUCUCGUGCCCACAAGCACAGCUGUGACGAAGUUGCACUCCUGUUACUUCUGCCAAUGAAUGCACUGAAAAAAACAGUACAUCAGAUUUCAGUGAGGUUUUCUGACACUACUUCCUUCAGAAAGAACCAGAUUCUACAACCUGCUCACCUGCCCAGCUAUUGAGAACGUAAGACUUUUGCUAUUAAAAUAUGUCUUUCUAUCAGAAGAAAUAUUUUCUGUAACAUUUUCUGCAGUAAAAAGCCAUAGGAAAUUAAAGUAGAUCAAAAAUAUUUAAUAUGCAUUAAAAAAACAAUUUAGACAAGAAAGGUCAGUAGUGGAAAGGUGUGAUACCUGCAAUUGGAGCCAAGUUAGAAAAAGGGUUGGCCGUUUACAGCCAAGUUAAACAACACACAAUUAAGGUUAACCUGGCUCUGCUGGCACAUAUAAACCCACACAUGAGGACGGUGGGGGGCUAAGACAGUUUCAGCAGUCCUAUUUACCUUGGCCAUGUCCAUAACUGAGUGUUUUGCGUACUGGCUCUGUUUGUAGACAUCACACCUUCUCACCCACUCUUUACACUUGGCAUCUGAAUGCACCCUAAAUAUUUGCCCCAAACUUCAUAUUUUGUUUAGAAAAAAAUAAUUGUUGAGAGUUCCUCUGUAGGAGAACAGAAGAAAAGCUUUUCUACUGCCGAAUGUGUGAUGUCCCCUGCCUGUCCCAAAUUCCAACAACAGACUCAUCACCAUGCUGUCUUACAGGGGGCUGUAGGAGCUGGGAGGCAAGCAGGAGACAUCACCAGCCAUAGAGCACCCAUUCAAAAUGCAUCUGGACUUGCCAUUGUGAAGUAUUGCUGUUCUGUUAUGGCGGCAGGGGACAUGUUGGACAUGAAUGACUGGUAGGGAUGGCAACGAAACAUCUAUCAAAAUAUUUCUCAGCAGCUCAGAUGUUUUUUCUAGAUCAAAAAGUGUUUUCUUUCUAGGAGAAAUGUAUCCACCUUGUCAAAGAUGAGCACAUCUCAGUUCACUCCUCACAAAGAGUAGGGACGUAUUCUAUCCAGGUGUAUUCUGUCCCAUGCUCACAGCACCUCCCAGCCCUGCUUCUCCCUCACUGCUGUGUCCCACACACAGGACCUCCAUGGAGGAGGGUGCCAGGACAGAUUCUCCCACAAAGCUUGGCCACAGGUCAUGGUCUGAAAGUUACUCAGAGAAAAGAGCAGGAAUAAUACUUUCUUUUUCCCCCUCUGCUCAGUGAUUUCAGUACAACUCAAGCUCCUAACUGCUGUAGGGAUCCAGGCCAAAACAUAUUCAGUAAUAGAUACUGAAACAGACUAUUUCAUGUGCCAGUUCGGUAGGUUAAUUCACAUAAGCGAGAAAACAGUUCUGACUGAAGGGAGGAGUGAUUUUAAAACGUUGAUUCAUACAGAAGUGUUAGCAGCCUUGUGCUUAUACCCACCAUCACUGAACAGAACAGAAUCGGCAGCAAUGUUAUUUCCAAGUUCUGUGGUGUAAAUAAAACCCCUCUCUCUGACUCACAGUGAGUCAUUUUUGUCUGUAUGUGUUUAUGUCGAGGGAGAUAUAACUUGGUGCUCUGAGCAUUCUUCUUGACAAGAUCUUUUUGUGUCUCUUUUUCUCUUGCUUUUCUGUGAACUUUUGAGAUCUUUCUUGCCAGUGAUCUCCUUCUUGCUUAGCGUAACCUCAUCCCACUUGUUCAGCUUUCUGGCACAAGUGAAAAAAGACAUGAAGUUAUAUUGGCUGCAGUGUUGGCACGUUAUAGGGAAUUAUAUACAAAAUGAGAGAAUUUAAGUACCAAAGGCUGUAUGAAAGCAGCAACAUCUAGGCAAACUGACACCUAGUGUGUACAGUAACUGCGGGGCAUCUUCUGUUACUUCAGAUGAAGGUGUCUGAACAUCUCUUUUUUAAGGACCUCGCUGUUCACAGUUUUUUACCAUACCAUCAUGAUUUAUGCUCACAGCGGCCAGUCCCAGCCUUCAGAAAUGCAAAAGCAUGCUUAGCCCUUGCAACGGGGAAAGGAACAGAAACUAAGCCCAACCACAUCCCCAGUGCACAUCUGUAAUAUGUUUCUAUUUCUAGCCUUCCUUCUGAGCCCUGGGAGGUAAGGUGAGAUAUGACUGCUCCUGGGAAACAAUGGGGGAGUGUGUGUGACCAUAGCCCUCCACGCUGCCGUGGUGGUGUGGCCAUGUCAGUCACUCAUAUCACCUUUGAUAUCAGAGUCUGGCCUCAAUGAACCUGCUCAAUAUCUGCUGCAUGCUGCACUGUUUGGGGAUGAUCCCACCAGAGUUGCCAAGCUGUUUUCAAAAGACAGAGUGGAGAAGUCAUUACUUUGUCCAUGGCCUUCUCUUCAUUGUGCAGCUCUGGAAGAGCCUCCCAAAGUUCUGCACUCCCUCACUGUCCUGCCUGUGUGUGUGCUGUCCCCACCGCAGCCUGGAGCUCCUUGCUUGCGGUGACCAAAAUGGCUCAGGCCUGUCUACGAGGGCUGAGAAGGAUGGAUGGACUUCUGCAGGGGAUGAAAGACAGUGCCUUUCCCUGCUGCAUGGUGUUGUUCCAACCUAAGUGCUAAGUGAGACAAGAUUCUAAUGAGAAAAGCUCAUAUGUCGCCAGGUGAGUAUGAAAAAAUAUGUAUCAUAAGGACAUAAUCUAGGGAGGGCUGAGAUUAACAGUUCAUAAAUAAAAAAUGUAAAUAUGCAAAACAAAACAGUCUGUACAUACACAAGAGAACUGCUUUUUGGAGUACACCAUAAAUGCAGCAGUUAAUCUAAGCCAAGAGCUAUGCUAGGUUGUUAAUUCCAGCAGAUUAUGAUGAUCACUCUUCUUUUUUGCUCUCUGUGAAAUAAAUGUCUCAUGUGGAGGUUUUAAACAAGUCAGUCCUAUUUGCCAAACAAAUCCAACGUUCAAAGAGAUUGUGAACAUUAGCAGGCAAUGAUUUUUCCGUUUAUUGAUUCCCUGUAAGGAAAAAAAAAUAAAUAAAUAGUGGGUAUUAGAGGAAUACCACAUGUACUAGCUCACUCAUAACACACCUGAGGGCAUGUGAACACGUUUGUUUUACCCCACUUAACAUACCUGUUUUUUCCCACUGCUCGUAUGAGAAAGGCAAGAUGUUUCAGUGGGCACAGCUCUUUAUAAUCCAGUGCCAACAGCAGAAUAUGAGACACCAAUAGAGCCGCUCACAGGUGUCUUCUCAGCAUUUCUUAAGUGUUCCUAGGAAGGCAGAUGCCCUCAGGAAGAAGGUAAUUUACGUACCAGUUCUACCUGUACACCUGUUUGCAAUGCAGAUACGCGGCUUUAUGCUGAGCGCUGAGCCAAUAGGAAGCUCACACACAGCACUGACUGCUGAUAAUUAAAGAAACCUUCAGGAGUAUCAUAUAAUAUCUGGCACGGGAUCCUCUCAUCCAUCCAGCAAAGGCUGCUCUGCCAUGCACUUUCCGUACCACUCUACUCGCUUCCGUAACAAUUAAGACAGUGUAUCUGUGAAUCAUGGUUUCCACUGCAACGUUCAGUGCACCGCUUGUGUGUUAUUGUUGUCUGAUGGCUCCUUCUUUAGUCUGCAGAGGGGAUCACUCUAUUACUGCAGUUCAGACAGCUCACAGGUUGGCCCUUGCCCCUCUCUUUCAUAAAGUAAGUAUAAUUAGAUGAUAAUGCCCUUCUUGUCAAAUCUUACCGCUUAUUUAAGCCUGCAGUAAUAAUUUCAAUUUAUUAAAGAUUUAUUCAGAUAAAAUUAUUAUCACUGUUUAUUCAAAUGGACAUUCUUUUUCUUUUUUUUAUGUUAUUUUUCUUUUUUUCUCUUCUCUUCUCUUCUCUUCUCUUCUCUUCUCUUCUCUUCUCUUCUCUUCUCUUCUCUUCUCUUCUCUUCUCUUCUCUUCUCUUCUCUUCUCUUCUCUUCUCUUCUCUUCUCUUCUCUUUUUUUUUUUUCCCCCUCUUUUUCCAAGGAAACAAAAGCUAUAAUUCCUGCAAAAGAGAUGUAACAAACCUGUCAAGUUCUGAAACAGUUAACUUGAGCAUUUUACUUAGAAAGGCUGACAAAUUUUCUUCACUUCAAAAUAUCAUUAACACCAAUAACACAUUUGCCCAAGCCUAUUUCUAAGUUGUAAAAAAAGAUUGCUACAGAUUAAGACCCUUGAUAUAAUGCUAUAAGCUCCUAACAAUGGUAUCUUUUAUAGUGAAGAGCAACUGCAGACACAAAUUGCCCCCUUUCCUGCACCUUUUUCACAAAAAUCAAUAUUAAAGUAGUAGCUGCCUUAACUCUCCCAUAGACUGUAUGAGAAAAAACCACAGCCACGCUUAGGACAGUUUAGGUCAAUAAAGAAUCAAUACUGUGGUUGAAUCUGUAGAAAGAUAAAAGACUGAGAACUCACUACAGCGUGCCCUAUUGUUUCUCUCUAUUUUGAAAAGAAGCUGAAGAGCCUCACUUUUUUUCAAACUAGCAAUGAAUUUC